rnacentral:rRNA from 1 species
AUGGCGUCGGCGCUUCGUUUCGCGGCGAGAAAGAUGUGCAGCCGCGUCCUUCAGCGAGCACCGCAUCCGUAUUUGUCGGCGAGCGCCUCAGCGGCCGUCAAGGAGGGACAGCGGCGGAUCGGCCAUGCCGGGAGCUCCCUUCGCCGAUUUUGCUCCUCAGGAUCACCUAAUCUUGUUAAUAACACCAAGCAUGGAGUGCAAUCAGCCGCGGAAUCAGCUUCGUUCAUCAGUAAUGCGGAAUACACACCAUGGUGGUCAGAUAAUCACCCUAAGUUUCUACGCAACAUAUUUCUGUAUACAGUCGCGGUGUCUACAGGAAGCGUUGCAACGCUCUAUGCGGUGGCCCGUAUACAUGGGGGGCCAUUAUUCAGGGAAGCAUUAGGAUUGGAGCCUAAUCCAAGCAACAAGGAUGAUCGACAGUCAGAUUAA